GGGGGUUUAGCUCAGCAGCAUAAGCACCUGCCUUGCAAGCAGGUGGUCCUGAGUUCGAUCCCCGGUACCAAUA
rfam:Cavia porcellus supercont2_35 genomic scaffold, whole genome shotgun sequence.